UGGCUGCGCUCUGUGCGUCCUGCUCCCUGCACAGACACAAAGACGAGAGAUCGAUCCAUCUUUUAACAGAAGUGAUAAAUAUCUGUGCCUGACCUGCACUCCCUCCUUGAUGCAUCGCUGCAGUCUGCUCGUCAUCUUUGUUUCUCGCUUAUUAUUCUCAGGAAGGUUUUGCAGAUCUGCCUCAGGUGCAUUUUUCAUUCUGCGUUUCAUUAUUUGCUCAGAUUAAUACAAGCGUGGUAUCAGCGGCAGCGGCGUGGUCGGCUAAGCUGUGUCUAAUAGGCUGGAGUCUAGACAUCCCCAUACCAAUUAUCCACUGUAAAUAGAAUCCACGCUUUGGCUCAAGGCUUUGUUUAUUCAAUUCCAUUCACUUCAUAUCAGCAGGAUUAUAAUUAAGGAAAAUAAACACCUGCUGGGAAGGUGAGGCCAUCAACAUGUGCCUUUCCUACAACAUGAAGGUGCAGCGGGUCAGCUGGGAUAAAAACACAGACACAUAUAUGAGACUGCCACAUUAAGAGACAAUAAGACUGACUGAAUAUGAAAGAGCGUGUGGUUAUUUCCUCACUGUGCCAAACGUUUCAGCAAACAGAUGUCCAACACAGAAAAUAUUACUCAAUAAUGAAUCUAUUUUCAUGCAAACAGACAGUCUGUCAGGAGGCGUCUCAUCCAGCAGAUGGAAAAGAUUUGGUUUUGGUGUUCCGCUCUGGGUGUAAUUGAGAAUACAUGUCUCAGCGUUUCAUCUCAAAUGGCCUCCAUAAAGACAUUGAUGAUGCAAAUGUUACCGUAUGGGUUCAGUUUCUACAGUGUCAUGUCUGAUUUGUGACCCGCAGGUUAUAUUGUCAGUGCAUUAGCGCUCAUCUGGCAGAAUGUAAGGUGUGUUUCUGAAUCUCUACACGUCUGGGAGC